rnacentral:lncRNA from 1 species
GGUCGGGCCUCUCACGGGGACGCUCCCGCCACUGUGAUAAAGAGGAGAAAACGUCACAGGGGAAGGGCCUGACCCUGCUGCAUCCAUUUUUUAGAUUAAGUACUGCACGACUACUCGCUUCUGAAACUGUCAUAAGAAACUGCCUCAGCUCCCUGCAGGGUGGACACACAAGAGCAGAAUCUCCGUGGGACAUCUCUUUGGAGCAUCAAUAUUACUACAGUAUUUGGAAGACACAAAUUUAAAUAAUUUCUAAGGUAAAGAAUGGAACAUUUAAGACAAGGCUGGAAAGUCAUCUGCCUUUAAUAACUCAUCUGUGCCUCACAUGUCAGACUUCCUCCAAGAAAAAAACUAAGGAGAACUUAUUUCCAUUCUUAUAAGUAGUAAAAAUAAUAAAUCAUAUCAAG